GUUGAGGAGGCCUGGCCCUCCUGUCUGGUUGCUGGGUGGGUCUUAGGCCCUUGGGAAGGGCACUGGGUCACCAAGAAUGAGUGCUGAUGGGCAGGAAGGGGCCCAGAACCCAAGGAUCCUGGUGCUACUGGCCUGAAGAAACCUUGCAAGUGAAGUGGGGCCUCCCUGGGGCAGAAGACGAAGUUGGCAUGCUCAGGAAACCUGGAAGGAAGGGAGGUGAGCAGCCAGAUUCAGGCCCCAAACCUCCCUGGAGUCCCAACAAGAAGCCAGGGCAGCAGUAAUUCAGUGAAGAUGCUGAAUAUGCCGUUCUCAAGGUCACACUCCCCCCAUAUCCUGUACAUUCUGUGAAAUUCUGCCCACAAGGCAGUGGAUUAAGGUGGAAAGGAAAGGCUAAGAGAUAGGAGACCUACAAUUCCAUCUCUGCUCCUAAAGAAAUCCUUCCUCCUCUGCGGCCUCAGUUUCCUCAAUGUAGAAUGAGACUCCUCACUUGAAGCAACUUUAUGGCCAGAAUUUAGUUUGAUACUUACAACCUUGUGUGCAGGAGAGAAGCCGACAUGAUCCCAGGCGUUGGGAUUUAAGGGUGGAGUGGUGGAGUUAGGAGAGGAAACUCACAUGUGUGAACCAACUGGCGAAAAAUGCAAGAGAGAGUUUGAUUGAAUGCCUGAGUUAGUGGAUCAGACCAGCAGUGCCUGGCUUGUGGGCUGGAGCUCUUGCAAGAGAUCUGUACAUCCAUAUGCCCUACAAGCAUCGACCGAAGGCUGAAUAAAUAAUACAACUUGCACGUAUAUGUGGGACUAUUUUUCAAAUCAUCAAUGCUGCUGUCACAAAUAAAAUGCAGAUUCAUUUGAAAGUGGUCCUGAAUGCAGACUCCCUUUGGGUUGCUAUGCAUUUUCUCAAGCAGCAGACCUUAUAAAGACAAUUGUUGUUUACAGGGACAUAAAACAAUAUCUGGCCUUUUAUUUAAAAUACUCGAGGGAAAAAAGGCAGGGGUGGAUGAAACUGGAAGGAGAGAAUGUUAAUAAUUAUUGAAGCUGGAUGAUGAGUAUUUGGGGGAUUAUUAUACUCUUGUCUCAACUUUUGUAUGUUUGACAUUUUCCAUAAUAAAAUGUUUCUUUAAAAG
rnacentral:lncRNA from 10 species